GCCCGGAUGGCGAAAUUGGUAGACGCGUUAGUUUCAGGGACUAGUGUUUGUAAGGACGUGCAGGUUCGAGUCCUGUUCCGGGUA
rnacentral:tRNA from 1 species